UCGUGAAUUUGCAUUCAUAAGAGCAACAUGGAAUUUUUCCUACAAACUAUUGGCAUAUUGAAAUCUACUAAAGUGGAUUUCAUUUCUGAAUUGCCAAGUGUUGUGAAAAUACUUGCAAAUCUACAAAUUCAAAAAAAUUUUAAGACAAACUGCAAGACUUCAUAAACGACAAAUAAGAAAAUGAAGGAACAGAUUUUGGGACGAGAUUCACUGUCAUGGAUUGAAUCACAAGGAUAAGGAGUUGAAGAAAGAUAGCAAGUAUAAUGUAGCUGGCAUAAGAUUAGAAACGGUAGUAGUAGUUUUUGGUAACAGAGUUACUGUUAGAAUCCCACCACUGAGAAAUAAAUGAUGAUUUUUCUAUGUAAUUGGUUAUGUACAAAUAAUACUACAGUCGAACGUGAUUAUAUCUUUUUGUCUCGAUGAAAAGAGUAUAUAAAUAUUCAAAUUUUUGGAAAAAUUAUCAAUCGUGAAUCUGCAUGCAUAAGAGCAACAUGGAAUUCUUCAAGAGCUUCCUACAAACUAUUGGCAUAUUGAAACCUACUAAAGUGGAUUUCGUUUCUGAAUUGCCACUGGAAGUAUGACAAAGAAUUAUGUAUCACACACAUAAUUCUUCGCAAUUUGGAUGGAUAAGAGAGUUGAGAAAAAACAGCAAAUAUAGUGUAGUAAGCGUAAGAAACAGUUUUUGGUAUAGAGCUACUGUUAGCAUCCUACCACCGAGAAAUAUGAAUGUAAAUAAUUCUUCAAAUAGAAAAUCUUGUAAAUGUAUUAGAAUAUAAAAUAAUAAUUUAGAUUAUUUUAAUUUAAAAUAAUAUAUAUUUAAUUAAAUACUUUUUGAAAUAAUUAUAACAAAAUAAAAUUUUUAGUUACGUUAAUAAUUAAUUAAAUAAUUUUGACAUCUUAAAAAAUGCUAAGAAAAGUAAAUAAUUGUAUUUAUAAUAACGUGUAUAAAUAUAAAUAAUUUAAGAUUUAUAUUUAUUAAUGACUUUGUGCCAAUGCAUAAUUGUAAAAUUUUUAAUUUAAUUAUUAUUCAAUUGUAAAUUAUAUCUACAUCAUUGUAUGAUUAUUGAUCGAAAUUAGUUAAAUACGAACCUGGAUAACUAGCUCUUUGAGCCUAGUUUUUAUAAGAAAUGACGGGUUCUCAGGACAUGGGACAUUAGCACCGACACGUCAUUAAAUUUCUUUAUUAUACGCUCAUCUGCUCGAAAUCAUGGAAUUCUCGAGCCAAGGUACCGUUUGAAACAAAUAAGUGACUUACCUGUAACGAGAAAAGAAAAAGAUAUUAGAUCGAGCGCAGUGGAAUUAUCUUAGAUUUAAUUAAAUAUUACGAAAAUUUAUACGACUGUAAAUAAUUGGUGUACGUGAAUAAACUUUUUAAGACCUUCAUAACGUUAAGUUCCAUCAUAUAAUUGCAUGAAAAUUAUUCGAGAUUCACACUUUUAUAAUAGUAAAAGUAUUCUGGAAAGUUAAAGCUUUGAAAAUACGAUAUGGAUUCGUCAUUAGUUACAUAAAUCUUAAAGCUAUGAAUAUUGUGGAAAAGAAUGGAAACCGGUUGGUUGUUGCUGUUUUGUUUUAUCUGAUAUGAGUUGUUAGUCUACAGCAAUUUCCACUAUACAUGAUUAUAGGUUAAUGAUAAAUUUAAUUUUGUAUAACAGUUUCAAAUUUGUUAUAUAAGUGUUCACUCUUUUGUGGAAUUGUUAGAAAUUGUAUAAUAAAUAAAUGAAACAAAAAAGAAACG